rnacentral:rRNA from 1 species
UACGAAGGGGGCUAGCGUUGCUCGGAAUUACUGGGCGUAAAGGGCGCGUAGGCGGAUAUCUAAGUUGGGGGUGAAAUCCCGGGGCUCAACCUCGGGCCUGCAGUCGAUACGGGCAAACUAGAGUACUGCAGGGGAGACUGGAAUUCCUGGUGUAGCGGUGGAAUGCGCAGAUAUCAGGAGGAACACCGGUGGCGAAGGCGGGUCUCUGGGCAGUAACUGACGCUGAGGAGCGAAAGCGUGGGGAGCGAACAGG